rnacentral:rRNA from 1 species
CCCCUAGAUGUUCUGGGCCGCACGCGCGCUACACUGAACAGUUCAACAAGUCUUAACCUUGGCCGAUAGGUCUGGGUAAUCUUUGAACGCUGUUCGUGAUUGGGAUAGACCUUUGCAAUUAUGGGUCUUCAACGAGGAAUUCCUAGUAAACGCAAGUCAUCAGCUUGCAUUGAUUACGUCCCUGCCCUUUGUACACACCGCCCGUCGCACCUACCGAUUGAAUGGUCCGGUGAAAUCUCGGGACGGCGGCUUGGUCGCUUGCGUCCGACUGCUGAAACUUGAUUAAACCAUAUCAUUUAGAGGAAGGUGAAGUCGUCACA